rnacentral:lncRNA from 8 species
AUGUUCCUGUUACAGACCCAGCCCAGACCCCAUUCCUCUCCCUACGACCCUGCGGCUGGUUUCGUGGUCUUCUAUGACCUGGUGCUGGGGUUAGAUGCCAUGCUGAGGGUUCUGCGUCUAGUGCCUGGUCUCUACUCUGGGGGCCAGGAGGUGGGGCGUCCUACUCCACUGCUCCCUGUGAAGUGCCAGCUUGGAGGGGGUCUGCCUUACUCCCACACUGUGCCCCCCGGGAACUAUGUCCCACUGGCAAUCAAACAGCCUAUGCCCAGGAUGCAGCCGUCUCCCUCCUUGUCUUUGAUGGUUGAGCUCCAGGCUGCUGGGGGUCUGGACGCCUACGUUCAGGAGGUCCAGAGGCUGGUGUCCCAGGGCUGGAGCUCUUCAACCAGCACAACUAGUUCCAGAGCGGGUACUCGAGGGUCCCAGUACGUGCCCUCCUUGUCCGACCCUUCCUUAGCCCAGGCCAGCUGAACUCAGUUCCCAAG